rnacentral:rRNA from 1 species
GUUGCCAACGCUACGGGCGGGAACUCUCGGCGGACUGCCGGCGACAAGCCGGAGGAAGGUGGGGAGUGACGUCAAGUCAUCAUGGCCCUUAUGUCCAGGGCGACACACGUGCUACAAUGGGCGGCACAACGGGAAGCGAAGGGGUGACCUGGAGCGGAUCCUAAUAAAGCCGUUCCCAGUUCGGAUUGGAGUCUGCAACCCGACUCCAUGAAGCUGGAAUCGCUAGUAAUCGCGGAUCAGCCAAGCCGCGGUGAAUACGUUCCCGGGCCUU